GAGCCGAUCAUGAGUGCGAUAAAGGUCGCUCGCAGGUCACCAAACAUAUUGGGCAACUGGAAGAAAACAUGGGAAGAGCAGACAUGGAGAGAUGGCCAACAAUUAUGGGCUGACGAAAGCAUAACAAAUCUCCAAUGAAAGCCGUUUCAGUUCAGAGCCACUGACUAUAACGAGAGAAUGAGGAUGGCCACUGAAAGAAAGAAAGAAAGAAAAAGAGAAAGAAAGAAAGAGAGAAAGAACAUGUGACAGAGAACCAGAAAACGUUAAGUCCAUCAGCACAAUUUAGAGGCGUCAAAAGGUUUGUGCACACUUAAUCCACCCUUUUUUCAUAUACAUUACUUUCUUUCGGUUUCUCAGUCAAUAAAAGAGAAAUAACUAGGGCAGUAACAGGAAUGAUCCGUCCAGUCUAAACCGGCUGAAGCCUGACUCUAAUUGGAGCCUGGACCAGGGCGGCCUGCCUACAGUUAUGCCUUGUUCCUGUGACAACAAGUGGAUGAGCAACAGCAAGUGUCCUGUUACGUAACAAUGCGUUUGAAAGGCUGUGAUCAGCAGCUUCGUAAUGGAAGAGUUGUGCUGUAGACUCAACGUGGAAUCCUGUUAAAACUGGUGUGAAAAUCUUCUCCAAAAUCGACUGUAAUGUGCAGUUUUGGGCACGUUCAUUUAAAGGAGGAAUUAGUUAUAGUUACUAGUUACUUAUUACAAAUAGUAACUGAGUUAGUAACUACAUUUCAUAUUUAUAAAAGUGAAAAUAACUAUUUCGUUACCUUAAAAAAAAUUUGUCAAAUGACUAUAAAAUAAAUUAAAAACAUUGGACACUAAUUUACACUAUUUUAAUGUUGUUGUGGACAAUAUGAGAGACACGGCAGCAUGUCCUCAACUAUAUAGAUAGUAUUUAGUUUAAUUCUGUCUGAGUAAUAAGUGUUUGUGGUGGGGAAAAAUUAAGUUUUAUUUGCUUUGACGUAGUGGCUUCAUCUCCUUCUUUGGUAGCAGAGCUCACAUUAUCACCUGCGUAGCCACAAAUUUUGUGGCGGCACGUGACGACGAGGUGCUUCAUUAAAUUUGAAUUACUCAUCACUGAUGCAAAGACUCUCUUUUUACUGGGCAUAAGUUGUACGAUACAUACAUGACUGUUCAUGGUUGAGAGAGACACGGCUUGCAUGAAAAAAAGCUUUAGUUUUCUCAAUUAUAGUAACGCACAUUUUUUAUUGUUAGUAAUGGUAACAGCAUUGUAAUGGGGGAAACAGUAAUUCAAUUGAUUACUCGUUACUAAAAAAAGUUUUGCCGUUAGUAAUGCGUUUAUUUAUAAAGCCAUUAUUCCCAUCACUGGUUAUGUGCCACUGUAACACAACAAAGUACACUACCAUUAUUAUCAACAAUGGUGUGGAAUGGUUUGUUUAUGUGAAAAUAUCAGAGAAUGAUCCCAUGUGACACUUGGAAUAUUUUAAGGGCUUUUGGAUUUGACUGUAUUAUCUAACAACAAUCCUGACUGUUUUUGUCUAAUUGUGCUUUCAUGAAUCUCUCUUAUUAAUCAGAAUAUCUGCUUGCACUUUAUUUUUGUCUUUGUUACUUUUUGUAAC